GUUACAUUAAUAUUUAUUAAUGACUUUUUCAUAUUAAAAAUCUACUUUGAGCUUAUUAUAAUAAUGAACUAUCGAGAAGUCCAAAAAAAUUACUAUAUGACAAAGGUUAUUGUUACCUAUUUUGUUGGAAAGUAAUAACCAAGAUAAAGGCCAUUGACUUGUAAAAAAAGUUGGACUCAUAUGGUCUCUAACUUUUGUCACCUCUAUUUCUAUUUUAGGAGUUGUAGGGUUUCCUAGUCUGGUGUGGGGAUCAUCCCCGGUCCAUCGAGACCCGGCACCACCGCCCCAUCCCGGUCCGUCGUGUGGAUUUUGUCGGCUAAGAGACGAUGGCGACGAUCCUCUCUUUCUUUAUAGUUGUUAUCACAACAAACCUUAGAUUGUCUCCAAUAGAUAUUUUACAUAAAAAAGAAAAAUAGAAGAAUGGUUAUGUUUGCAUGUUUUUUGGCAGACGGUGGUGGCAAACGAAGGCACUACGAUCUCCGUAAAGGAUGGGAGGAAGUAUAGAUUAAAACGACGAUGUGGUUUUACUAAAGUACUGAUAAGUAAUAUUAUAUUGUUUUUACUUUUCUUUUGCUUUACAAAAUGCGCUUGCACCAAUGAAUACGUCACCUGCCUAUGCUACCUCUGCUAUGUCAACUCCUUUGGUGCUCAAUCAUGGAAUUGAUCCUUAUCUCACGGGAGAUAAGGUUGACGAAACCUUGUACCGGUUGAUGAUUGGCUAGCUCAUGUACUUAACGGCGUGACUCCUGUUAUAAAAGAAAACGCUUUCACUUUCUAACCUUUAGCCUUUGGAGGAGAUUGGAACAUGUUAGAGCAUAAGAAUGCCUUCGAGUCUCCAAUAUUGGCAGCAAGAAUAUGACUAUCUGCCACUAAUAUCACUAGUGCUGUGGAACCAGAAUUGAAGUUGUAUGUAGAAGCUUCUAUAAAAAGUAAUACAAAUCAUAAAUAAACAUAUAUAGGAGAGAGAGAAGAAAAAAUAGAAGGAUAAACAUCAACUACCACCAACCUUACAGAAUGCUGCAUCAAUAUCAUGAAUCACAUUUAACAAAGAUUCCUUGGGAAUUUCCAAGUGGAAAUCUUCAAUAAAGAUGUUAGACAGUGUAAACUCAAUCCUAUAACAAAAGUGCCAAAUAAGUCUACUUUCAGAAAAUUUCUAUAAAGGGAUUCAGAAAAUUUCUAUAAAAGGGAGAUUUUAAGAGUAUGUGCGAGAAAGAGAGAGGGAACAACCUUCCGAUAUGCAGCAUAUUAUAACCAUAUCCUCCUCUAUUCGGUAACAUUCCCUUUGAUAUGUUGGACAAAAAGCAAAAUGUGGUAUCCAAAAGAAAAGAUGUAUGCAGUAACAUACCUGAAGCCAUGUCAACUAGCUUCUGCACCAUUAUGCCCAUCGAAAGGUGCAAUUCAUAUGUCUCUGAUGCCAUCAGUGCCUGCAACACAUGAGAAAAAAAACCAUAUGAAAAACCUUAAUAAUUAUGGGAAGGGUGUUGCUAAAUGCACUCCCAUUUUUUUAAUUUUACUGGUUGCACUCCCCCCUGAAGUUUAUAAAUAAAUACAAUCUACCCUUGUAUUUUCUAUAUUUUGAAAAUUUGUAUUAGGAAAUAUCCCUAUUUUUUCUAGGGGUCUAUCUACUUGCAUAAUUUGAAUAUUUA